UAUUUUUCUUAUUUUUAACCGCACAAUCUUCCAUAAAAUAACAGUAAACGUAAAUUAAAAAAAUUUUCUUCCUUUUCAACCACUCAUUUUUCACAAAAAUAUUAUUAUACCCAUUUCCAUUUCUACCAAAUAGGGCCAAAAGGGGCAAAAAAUUUAUACAACUUCAUCUCAAUCCAAUGUAAUCCCAAACGCUAGAAUUCAUCUCUCCAUCUUCUCACCUCUUACUCUCCCCACCUAACUCACAACUCCGACGCUGUCGCACCCACUACCAAAGACCACAUCGACACCCAAUCCAAUGGUUCUUCAUUGCGCGCCCACUUUGACCAAUCUUCACGUCACAGCAGCGUGCUCCUUCAUGUUAGGCGUCGUCGCUUCAUGGCAACAUCAACGCUGCGAGCAGCUAUGGCUCUUCUCCGUGUUAGGGGUUUUGUUGUUUCGCGCGCGACUAUCGCUAGCAAGCAGAGAUGAGAUCUAUUUUUUCCUUCGUGCAUAGUGACAUAGUUAUGUUCUUUUUUUUUUUUUUUAUCUGAGUUUGAUUUCUUUGAAAUGAAUGAUAUGGAGCCGUGGCAGAUAUCGGAGAGAGGUUAUGGAGGUGGAGGCGGUGGGGGACUUGAUGAUUUUGUUGGUGGGGUGGUGGCUGUGGUAUGCUAAUAUUGGGAGAGAUUGUGAUUUUAGCAGGCGGCGGUGGUACGAUCGUUGAUUGGAGGUGGAAGUGGAGGUGGUGAGUGGCUUGUUAGAGCAAAAUGCAGUGACGAUGUUUGUGGUGGUAGAGCUGUUGGCGGCGAUAGUGAGGACAAUGGGAUCUGGUGACGAUUUUUUUGUGGUGGUGUAGGUAAAUGCGUUGAUGGUGGUGCUGACGAUUGUAAUGGUGACGCUAAUGGCGGUUGUGGUGUGAUGCUAGCGAUGGUUGUAACAAGUGGCAUUGGUCGUAGUUGUAGUGUUGGUGAUGUGGUGUGUGACAUACUAUGAGGUGUAUGUGAUCAAUUAUUUUGUUAUCUGUGACCAGGUAUUAAAUCGUGACCUUAAAAUUUGAUAACUUGUGACUGUAAUAUAAUUUGUGAUCAACAUAUUUGAAAAUUUUUGAUCGACAAAUAAAUUAUGAUCUAUAAAAUUUUUAAUUUUUCACCUUGAGAGAAAAUGUGAC
rnacentral:lncRNA from 1 species